rnacentral:rRNA from 1 species
GACGAACGCUGGCGGCGUGCUUAACACAUGCAAGUCGAACGGAAAGGCCCCUUUCGGGUGGUACUCGCGUGGCGAAAGGGUGAGUAACACGCGAGUAACCUGCCCUUGUCUUUGGGAUAACUCUAGGAAACUGGGGCUAAUAUCGGAUAGGAGCUCCCCUUGUACGGUGUGGGUUGGAAAGUUUUGGCGGUUGGGGAUGGACACGCGGCUUAUCAGCUCGUUGGUGGGGUAGUGGCUUACCAAGGCUUUGUCGGGUAGCCGGCCUGGGAGGGUGGACGGCCACAUUUGGACUGGGGUACGGCCCAGACUCCUACGGGAGGCAAGAGUGGGGAAUAUUGCACAAAGGGUGGGAGCCUGAUGCAGCAACGCCGGGGGCGGGAAGACGGCCUUCGGGUUGGAAACCGCUUUCGCUCAGGGCGAAGCUUUGUGUGACGGUAGUGGGUAAAGAAGCACCGGCUAACUACGUG